rnacentral:rRNA from 1 species
AGUGAACGCUGGCGGUAGGCCUAACACAUGCAAGUCGAACGGCAGCACAGUAAGAGCUUGCUCUUACGGGUGGCGAGUGGCGGACGGGUGAGGAAUACAUCGGAAUCUACUUUUUCGUGGGGGAUAACGUAGGGAAACUUACGCUAAUACCGCAUACGACCUACGGGUGAAAGCAGGGGAUCUUCGGACCUUGCGCGAUUGAAUGAGCCGAUGUCGGAUUAGCUAGUUGGCGGGGUAAAGGCCCACCAAGGCGACGAUCCGUAGCUGGUCUGAGAGGAUGAUCAGCCACACUGGAACUGAGACACGGUCCAGACUCCUACGGGAGGCAGCAGUGGGGAAUAUGGGACAAGGGGCGCAAGCCUGAUCCAGCCAUACCGCGUGGGUGAAGAAGGCCUUCGGGUUGUAAAGCCCUUUUGUUGGGAAAGAAAAGCAGCAGGUUAAUACCCCGCUGUUCUGACGGUACCCAAGAAUAAGCACCGGCUAACUUCGUG